GCAAUCUCUCCAUGCCCAGAAAUAUAUUCCAAGAGAGAGAGUGUUCUACCAACCCUAUCUGGAGCAAACUCACAGAAUGAGUGAAAACAACCAUGUCCAAGUGG